AUUGAACGCUGGCGGCAGGCCUAACACAUGCAAGUCGAGCGAGCGGCGGACGGGUGAGUAAUGCAUGGGGACUGCCCGCUAGAGGGGGAUAACUACUGGAAACGGUAACUAAUACCGCAUACUACUGCAUAUCCCAUAUGGGAUUAGUUAGUUGGUGGGGUAAAGGCUCACAAAGGCAACGAUCCGUAGCUGGUUUGCGAGGACGACCAGCCACACUGGGACUGGGACACGGCCCAGACUCCUAGGGAGGCAGCAGUGGGGAAUUUUGGACAAGGGGGGAAACCCGGACGCAGCCAUCCCGGGGGUAGGAUGAGGGCCUUCGGGUUGUAAAGUACUUUUUGCAGAGAAGCGGUAUCUGCAGAAUAAGCACCGGCUAACUACGUGCCAGCAGCCGCGGUAAUAC
rnacentral:rRNA from 1 species